GUUAAUGUAGCUUAAGUUAACCAAAGCAAGGCACUGAAAAUGCCUAGAUAAGUUUAAUAACUCCAUAAACA
rnacentral:tRNA from 1 species